UGAGUACGAGACGCUAAGGCGUCGAAGUAGCUAUGUCAUACUUCCAAGAAAAGCUUGCACUGUCAUAAAUAAAAAGUGCCCGUACCAUAACCGACACAGGUGGGUAAGUAGAGUAUACUAAGGGGCGCGAGAUAACUCUCUCUAAGGAACUCGGCAAAAUAACUCCGUAACUUCGGGAGAAGGAGUGCCUUAUUCUUAAGGUUGCAAUAACAAGAUCCAAGCAACUGUUUAUCAAAAACACAGGUCUCCGCUAAGUCGUAAGACGAUGUAUGGGGGCUGACGCCUGCCCAGUGCCAGAAGGUUAAAGAAGUCGGUUAGCAAUAGCAAAGCUGGUAACUGAAGCCCUGGUGAACGGCGGCCGUAACAAUAACGGUCCUAAGGUAGCGAAAUUCCUUGUCGGGUAAGUUCCGACCCGCACGAAAGGCGUAAUGAUUUGGAUGCUGUCUCGGAGAGGGGCUCGGUGAAAUAGACUUGUCUGUGAAGAUGCGGACUACCUGCACCAGGACAGAAAGACCCUAUGAAGCUUUACUGUAACUUGAAAUUGAAAUUGGACUUUAUUCGCGCAGUAUAGGUGGGAGGCGUUGAUUAUAAUCUUGUGGGAUUAUUGGAGCCAUCAGUGAGAUACCACUCUUGUAAUGUUAGAUUUCUAACUUUGAAUCAUUAUCUGGUCAAAGGACAGUUUCAGGCGGGCAGUUUGACUGGGGCGGUCGCCUCCUAAACGGUAACGGAGGCGUACAAAGGUUUCCUCUGAACGGUUAGAAAUCGUAUCUAGAGUGUAAAGGCAUAAGGAAGCUUGACUGUGAGACCUACAAGUCGAGCAGGGACGAAAGUCGGUCUUAGUGAUCUGACGGUACUGAGUGGAAAGGCCGUCACUCAACGGAUAAAAGUUACUCUAGGAUAACAGGCUGAUCUCCCCCAAGAGUUCACAUCGACGGGGAGGUUUGGCACCUCGAUGUCGGCUCAUCGCAUCCUGGGGCGGUAGUACGUCCCAAGGGUUGGGCUGUUCGCCCAUGAAAGCGGUACGCGAGCUGGGUUCAGAACGUCGUGAGACAGUUCGGUCCAUAUCCGGUGUAGGCGCUAGAAUAUUGAGAGGAGCCUUCUUUAGUACGAGAGGACCGAGAAGGACAUACCUCUGGUGUACCAGUUAUCGUGCCAACGGUAAACGCUGGGUAGCUAUGUAUGGAGUGGAUAACCGCUGAAAGCAUCUAAGUGGGAAGCCCACCUCAAGAUAAGUAUUCUCAUCACGUAAGUGAGUAAGGUCACGGUAAGACUAACCGUUUGAUAGGCAUUAAGUGUAAGUACAGUAAUGUAUGUGCUGAGAUGUCCUAAUAGACCGAGGAC
rnacentral:rRNA from 1 species